UACGUAGGUGGCGAGCGUUAUCCGGAAUUAUUGGGCGUAAAGAGUAUGUAGGCGGUUGAUUAAGUUUGAUGUGAAAGCUAGUGGCCUAACCACUAAACUGCAUUGAAUACUGGUCAACUAGAAUACUGGAGAGGUAAGUGGAAUUCCAUGUGUAGCGGUGGAAUGCGUAGAUAUAUGGAGGAACACCAAUGGCGAAGGCAGCUUACUGGACAGUGAUUGACGCUGAGAUACGAAAGCGUGGGUAGCAAACAGG
rnacentral:rRNA from 1 species